rnacentral:lncRNA from 1 species
UGCAACUAGGGUUUCUAAUGACAGAAAAUGAUGUUUAUCUCUGCUGUUUUAGAGUGCAAAUCCAAGUUCAUGAAAAUGUGGGAUGUGGUUGUUGAAAAAGUGUACUUUCUUUCAAUUUUCAAGCAACUUGGCAUGGGUGUAUGUACUUGCACGAAUUUGACUUUGUAACAUGACCAAAACCAAAUUUCUGAGCUAUUUCAAUUGGUCAAAUGGU